UACAUAACCUCAGUGGGGUAGGAUUACCCGCUAGACUUAAGCAUAUUAAUCAGCGGAGGAAAAGAAACUAACAAGGAUUCCCCUAGUAACUGCGAGUGAAGAGGGAAUAGCUCAACGUGUGAAUCUGUCCGGGAGUAACCCCUGGUUCAGAGUUGUGCACUGUAGACGUCGGUUUCUGCGCUUGAAUUCCAGUUGUCAGUCCCAAGUCGGAUGAAACACCGCACCACAGAAGGUCAUAGCCCUGUGUCUGACUGUGCUUGAAUUUGCGCCAAUGACCGCACGUUCGUCGAGUCGCGUAGUUUUGUAAUGCUGCGCCAAUUGGGAGGUGGAACCCUUCUAAAGCUAAAUAUCAUGACGUGACCGAUAGCAAACAAGUACCGCGAGGGAAAGGUGAAAAGCAACCAUGUAGAAUGCGUUGAAACAGCAGUGAAAGUGCUACUGGGAUAAGGGCUAUUGAGUGCUAGUCUUUUGGUAGCGUGCUUUAGUGCUGCUCCAGGAGCGGCCUGCGUUGAUUGGAACUGGGAGACAUGCUCGGGGUAGAAUUCGGCCAAUGGCUUGCCACUGGUGUUGUAGCUCCCCGAAGAGUUGAGCCCAGAACCGAUCAAAGAUGCUUUACGGCG
rnacentral:rRNA from 1 species